UAGGGAAUAUUCCGCAAUGGGCGAAAGCCUGACGGAGCAACGCCGCGUGAGUGAAGAAGAUCUUCGGAUUGUAAAGCUCUGUCAACAGGGACGAUAAUGACGGUACCUGUGGAGGAAGCCACGGCAAACUACGUGCCAGCAGCCGCGGUAAUACGUAGGUGGCAAGCGUUGUCCGGAAUAACUGGGCGUAAAGCGCAUGUAGACGGCAUAGCAAGCCAAGUGUGAAAUUUAGGGGCUUAACCUCUAAACUGCGCUUGGAACUGCUGAGCUUGAGUGCAGGAGAGGCAAGUGGAAUUCCCAGUGUAGCAGUGAAAUGCGUAGAUAUUGGGAGGAACACCAGUGGCGAAGGCGAUCUACUGGAACAUUAUUGACGCUGAGACGCGAAAGCGUGGGGAGCAAACA
rnacentral:rRNA from 1 species